AACAUAACCCGUGUCAUGCCAACAACUGGUUUUUGAAUAAAUGUGUUUAGUUCCGAUGCAAAGACCCUAUAAGUGAAUCAAUAUUAACGCCAAAAUAUGCAAUCUUUAAUGACCUGACAACAGUAUCGUAACUAUAUCCCUUCUUAAUAAGUCUAUUUAAAGGUUUUGUUAGUUUCUGAGGUGAAUACUGACAUUUUUGUGCUUUAUAAAGAAUAUUUCCAUAAAAAAUUGGAUGUGA
rnacentral:lncRNA from 1 species